AAUGCCCUCUGGCUCCGGUCAGCUGGGUUCAAUGUGUGUCAACUCUUCGGAGUUGGCCAUCCACACACACACCGUGAACUGUGGCUUUGGCCAUCACAAACUAUUAGUAAUGAAUGUAAAAUCAUAACAAAAUAAAACUUUUAACAACGGAUCUCUUGGCUCU
rnacentral:misc_RNA from 1 species